rnacentral:rRNA from 1 species
UGGACAAUGGUAGGAGAGCGUUCUAAGGGCGUUGAAGCAUGAUCGUAAGGACAUGUGGAGCGCUUAGAAGUGAGAAUGCCGGUGUGAGUAGCGAAAGACGGGUGAGAAUCCCGUCCACCGAUUGACUAAGGUUUCCAGAGGAAGGCUCGUCCGCUCUGGGUUAGUCGGGUCCUAAGCUGAGGCCGACAGGCGUAGGCGAUGGAUAACAGGUUGAUAUUCCUGUACCACCUAUAAUCGUUUUAAUCGAUGGGGGGACGCAGUAGGAUAGGCGAAGCGUGCGAUUGGAUUGCACGUCUAAGCAGUAAGGCUGAGUAUUAGGCAAAUCCGGUACUCGUUAAGGCUGAGCUGUGAUGGGGAGAAGACAUUGUGUCUUCGAGUCGUUGAUUUCACACUGCCGAGAAAAGCCUCUAGAUAGAAAAUAGGUGCCCGUACCGCAAACCGACACAGGUAGUCAAGAUGAGAAUUCUAAGGUGAGCGAGCGAACUCUCGUUAAGGAACUCGGCAAAAUGACCCCGUAACUUCGGGAGAAGGGGUGCUCUUUAGGGUUAACGCCCAGAAGAGCCGCAGUGAAUAGGCCCAAGCGACUGUUUAUCAAAAACACAGGUCUCUGCUAAACCGUAAGGUGAUGUAUAGGGGCUGACGCCUGCCCGGUGCUGGAAGGUUAAGAGGAGUGGUUAGCUUCUGCGAAGCUACGAAUCGAAGCCCCAGUAAACGGCGGCCGUAACUAUAACGGUCCUAAGGUAGCGAAAUUCCUUGUCGGGUAAGUUCCGACCCGCACGAAAGGCGUAACGAUUUGGGCACUGUCUCAACGAGAGACUCGGUGAAAUCAUAGUACCUGUGAAGAUGCAGGUUACCCGCGACAGGACGGAAAGACCCCGUGGAGCUUUACUGUAGCCUGAUAUUGAAAUUCGGCACAGCUUGUACAGGAUAGGUAGGAGCCUUUGAAACGUGAGCGCUAGCUUACGUGGAGGCGCUGGUGGGAUACUACCCUAGCUGUGUUGGCUUUCUAACCCGCACCACUUAUCGUGGUGGGAGACAGUGUCAGGCGGGCAGUUUGACUGGGGCGGUCGCCUCCUAAAAGGUAACGGAGGCGCUCAAAGGUUCCCUCAGAAUGGUUGGAAAUCAUUCAUAGAGUGUAAAGGCAUAAGGGAGCUUGACUGCGAGACCUACAAGUCGAGCAGGGUCGAAAGACGGACUUAGUGAUCCGGUGGUUCCGCAUGGAAGGGCCAUCGCUCAACGGAUAAAAGCUACCCCGGGGAUAACAGGCUUAUCUCCCCCAAGAGUUCACAUCGACGGGGAGGUUUGGCACCUCGAUGUCGGCUCAUCGCAUCCUGGGGCUGUAGUCGGUCCCAAGGGUUGGGCUGUUCGCCCAUUAAAGCGGUACGCGAGCUGGGUUCAGAACGUCGUGAGACAGUUCGGUCCCUAUCCGUCGUGGGCGUAGGAAAUUUGAGAGGAGCUGUCCUUAGUACGAGAGGACCGGGAUGGACAUACCUCUGGUGUACCAGUUGUCGUGCCAACGGCAUAGCUGGGUAGCUAUGUGUGGACGGGAUAAGUGCUGAAAGCAUCUAAGCAUGAAGCCCCCCUCAAGAUGAGAUUUCCCAACUUCGGUUAUAAGAUCCCUCAAAGAUGAUGAGGUUAAUAGGUUCGAGGUGGAAGCAUGGUGACAUGUGGAGCUGACGAAUACUAAUCGAUCGAAGACUUAAUCAA